rnacentral:rRNA from 1 species
CCUACGGGGGACUGCAGUGAGGAAUAUUGGUCAAUGGGCGAGAGCCUGAACCAGCCAAGUCGCGUGAAGGAUGACGGCCCUACGGGUUGUAAACUUCUUUUGUCAGGGAGAAAUUGGGUCCACGCGUGGGCUUAGCGAGAGUACCUGAAGAAAAAGCAUCGGCUAACUCCGUGCCAGCAGCCGCGGUAAUACGGAGGAUGCGAGCGUUAUACGGAUUUAUGGGGUUUAAAGGGUGCGUAGGCGGAAUAUCAAGUCAGCGGUAAAAAUUCGGGGCUCAACCCCGUCGUGCCGUUGAAACUGAUGUUCUUGAGUGGGCGAGAAGUAUGCGGAAUGCGUGGUGUAGCGGUGAAAUGCAUAGAUAUCACGCAGAACUCCGAUUGCGAAGGCAGCAUACCGGCGCCCAACUGACGCUGAAGCACGAAAGCGUGGGUAUCGAACAGGAUUAGAUACCCCUGUAGUC